rnacentral:snRNA from 1 species
AGAGAGAGAGAGAGAAAGAGAGAU